UUUCAGGUAUUGGGAUAUUCCUUCUUCUUGUGGUGGUUACCUAAUUGGUUGAAUGUGUGGCUUGUGUCAUUGGGUUUCCCAUAUAUAGUUUUGGGGAAAACCCUUUCCCAUUUCUGCUUUUCCAAAAAAAUAUACAAAUCUGGGGCACGAAUGGGAAAAAUGAAGAGCUCACUCUUUUUCUCAGGGUGAGAACAUCUUCUCUUACUUUUAUCUUUUCCCAAGAGACCAUGGGAAAGAAAGGCUAAACUUAUCCAUGUUUAAUACAUUGUAUCCCUAUAUUCUACUGCGGAUGCGAUCAAAAGGUUUCGUCAUGGUAUUAUAUUUUUCAGCACAGGACGUGGGGAUGAUGUGAUUAUGGAACCCUGUUCAAAGGGAAAGAGGGCCAACAUGGAAACUUCCGGUAAGAUAUGCUCCCUAUCUUUACGUCCACCUUCCAUUAUUCAUGAGAUGAGGGUUUUGAUUUUGUUAACUUCUUUCAAAGCGGAUUUUUUUUACUACAAUCAACGUCGCGCCUUCUUAGAUUACCUCAAACGUGUAGGGGCAUACUUAGGACUUUUUAGAUAGUUUGUUGCAACUUGGACGUGUCUUAUGUUGUGGGGGGGUUACUUUAUUUCUUUAGGAAGGAGAUUCUCCCCAACAACGGUUGGGUGACGUUGCACCCUUUGGCCGACUGAUGAUUGUUAAAGCCCUUCGUAAACCUUUAUGAGGAAUGAAAGGACAAGUUUGUGGGUGUAAGAGGACGAGGCGAUACUUCUCCAGUUGUUGUCGGGGAGAAGGGUGACCCCUUUUUCCCUCUAUCAUGGACAUUGUAUCCACGAAUUACCUAAAGGGUGGACUCAAGUGUUCUUUUCCCAUUGAUUGCAAAAUGAUAUAGAUUUUGACAUGUUUCUGUUCUCUGGAAUCCAUUAUCCUUAUUACUUAGGACCAUGAAGACGGGGAUGAGGUGAAUGCGUACUUAGAAGCCCUCAUUGGCAAGAGAAUAAAGCGCUUAGUGAAAAUACAAAUCUCAUAACAGCGUGCGAGACUGCCUUCAUCCCUUCUGCAAGAUGUGAAAAGUGACGGCCGAGCAAAGCCAUACGAGACUUUCCGAACUGGUGAGGCAUGUUUUGUAAAGGUUCCACGGAGGAAGGAGGUUUCCUCUGGACCAUCUAGAAGUCGUGAAAUAGGUCAAGGGGAGGAGACAGCAGGAGAUGAAUAUGUCCCUCCAAAACUUUUUUCAUGAAACAACCUUGCCUAUAAUGCGGUGGAGUUUUCUGAUUUCCACUUCUCCUUCUCUGAGAAUUUUCCAAGUGACUAUCAGUUGCUCCUUGACAUGUCUCCUACCAGACUAUCUGAUCUACUAGGAGCCCAAUGCCUUUUAAUGGGAAAGCACAAAGGGAUAAGUAUUCUCGAACCAUGCGAGGAAUACUGUCCAUGGUGAUCCAUGUGAAUAUGAGAAUUUGUGAAGGAGGAACGAUAAUAAGGUGGGUGAGGGAAAAGUGGGAAGCCGUGAAGGCGCUUACCUAGGAAAUGGCUACUGAGACUCUCGCCCAAUUUGAAGACGCGGGGCGUCUGAAGCAAUCACUUAAGAGGGAUUACAACCCCUUGUAUAGUCUGGAGGAGAGACUCUCGUCAUUCAAGGAUGAAUUCGUUAGCAGAUGUGCACACACACACAAUAUCUUGACGACAUAUUUUGAUCCAAUAAGGUAGCAGCUUCCAGGAAUAUUUUAUAGGCUCAGACCUUUCUGUCGAAUAGGAAAAAGGAGGGAUGGUACCUGUAUACAUUUCGAAGUUCCAUUCAGUGAUUUGAAUAACACAUGACAACGUUUUAAAGGUUUUUUUAGAGUGUGUACUUUGAUGACGAUCCUUUACCCUUUUUAUAUGUAGACUCCAGGGUUUUCAAGAAUCUAGAACUUUCCCAUCGAGCAUGUGUCAUCCAACCGUUUUCAUAUGAUUGUACCAGGGAUAUCAAGUGUAUUAUUAGAGCAUAACUUAAUAUGUUAAUUCGCUUUUACAA